CACAAGCGGUGGAGUAUGUGGUUUAAUUUCGACGCAACGCGCAGAACCUUACCUGGGUUUGACAUCUCGGGAAUCUUGUGGAAACACGAGAGUGCCCUUCGGGAGCCCGAAGACAGGUGCUGCAUGGCUGUCGUCAGCUCGUGUCGUGAGAUGUUGGGUUAAGUCCCGCAACGAGCGCAACCCUUGUCCUUAGUUGCCACCAUUCAGUUGGGCACUCUAAGGAGACUGCCGGUGUUAAACCGGAGGAAGGUGGGGAUGACGUCAAGUCCUCAUGGCCCUUAUAUCCAGGGCUACACACGUGCUACAAUGGCCGGUACAAAGGGUCGCAAUACCGCGAGGUGGAGCUAAUCCCAAAAAGCCGGUCUCAGUUCGGAUUGGAGUCUGCAACUCGACUCCAUGAAGCCGGAAUCGCUAGUAAUCGCGUAUCAGCGUGACGCGGUGAAUACGUUCCCGGGCCUU
rnacentral:rRNA from 1 species